rnacentral:rRNA from 1 species
ACGAACGCUGGCGGCGUGCUUAACACAUGCAAGUCGAACGGAAAGGCCCUGCUUUUGUGGGGUGCUCGAGUGGCGAACGGGUGAGUAACACGUGAGUAACCUGCCCUUGACUUUGGGAUAACUUCAGGAAACUGGGGCUAAUACCGGAUAGGAGCUCCUGCUGCAUGGUGGGGGUUGGAAAGUUUCGACGGUUGGGGAUGGACUCGCGGCUUAUCAGCUUGUUGGUUGGGUAGUGGCUUACCAAGGCUUUGACGGGUAGCCGGCCUGAGAGGGUGACCGGCCAAAUUGGGAAUGAGAUACGGACAAAACUCAUACGGGAGGCGGAAGUGGGGAAUAUUGAACAAUGGGCGGAAGCCUGAUGCAGCAACGACGCGUGAGGGAUGACGGCCUUCGGGUUGUAAACCGCUUUCGCCUGUGACGAAGCGUGAGUGACGGUAAUGGGUAAAGAAGAACCGGCUAACUACGUG